rnacentral:rRNA from 1 species
AGAACGAACGCUGGCGGCAUGCCUAAUACAUGCAAGUCGAACGAGAUCUUCGGGUCUAGUGGCGCACGGGUGCGUAACGCGUGGGAAUCUACCCUUGGGUUCGGAAUAACAGUUGGAAACGACUGCUAAUACCGGAUGAUGACGAAAGUCCAAAGAUUUAUCGCCCAAGGAUGAGCCCGCGUAGGAUUAGCUAGUUGGUGAGGUAAAGGCUCACCAAGGCUACGAUCCUUAGCUGGUCUGAGAGGAUGAUCAGCCACACUGGGACUGAGACACGGCCCAGACUCCUACGGGAGGCAGCAGUAGGGAAUAUUGGACAAUGGGGGCAACCCUGAUCCAGCAAUGCCGCGUGAGUGAUGAAGGCCUUAGGUUGUAAAGCUCUUUACCCGAGAUGAUAAUGACAGUAUCGGAGAAUAAGCUACCGGCUAACUCCGUGCCAGCAGCCGC